rnacentral:rRNA from 1 species
UACGUAGGGCGCGAGCGUUAUCCGGAAUUAUUGGGCGUAAAGAGCUCGUAGGCGGUUUGUCACGUCUGCUGUGAAAACUGGAGGCUCAACCUCCAGCCUGCAGUGGGUACGGGCAGACUAGAGUGCGGUAGGGGAGAUUGGAAUUCCUGGUGUAGCGGUGGAAUGCGCAGAUAUCAGGAGGAACACCGGUGGCGAAGGCGGGUCUCUGGGCAGUAACUGACGCUGAGGAGCGAAAGCGUGGGGAGCGAACAGG